rnacentral:rRNA from 1 species
AACAGUUAGAAAUGACUGCUAAUACCGCAUAAGACCACGGAGUCGCAUGGCUCAGUGGGAAAAACUCCGGUGGUAUGAGAUGGACCCGCGUCUGAUUAGGUAGUUGGUGGGGUAACAGCCUACCAAGCCAACGAUCAGUAGCCGACCUGAGAGGGUGACCGGCCACAUUGGGACUGAGACACGGCCCAAACUCCUACGGGAGGCAGCAGUGGGGAAUAUUGCACAAUGGGGGAAACCCUGAUGCAGCGACGCCGCGUGAGCGAAGAAGUAUUUCGGUAUGUAAAGCUCUAUCAGCAGGGAAGAAAAUGACGGUACCUGACUAAGAAGCACCGGCUAAAUACGUGCCAGCAGCCGCGGUAAUACGUAUGGUGCAAGCGUUAUCCGGAUUUACUGGGUGUAAAGGGAGCGUAGACGGCUGUGUAAGUCUGAAGUGAAAGCCCGGGGCUCAACCCCGGGACUGCUUUGGAAACUAUGCAGCUAGAGUGUCGGAGAGGUAAGUGGAAUUCCCAGUGUAGCGGUGAAAUGCGUAGAUAUUGGGAGGAACACCAGUGGCGAAGGCGGCUUACUGGACGAUGACUGAC